rnacentral:misc_RNA from 1 species
UUAAGUUCAGCGGGUAGUCCUACCUGAUUUGAGGUCAAAUUGUCAAAAGAUUGUCCUUGCGGACGAUUAGAAGCAAGUCUAAGCCCAAUCCACGGCGUAGAUAAUUAUCACACCAAUAGACGGAGCCCAGUUUGAACUCGCUAAUUUAUUUAAGGGGAGCAGGUUGCCUUUACGCGCUCUGCACAAACCCCCACAUCCAA